UAAACAAAGCCCUACUUGUCCUCCAUGUUGGGAUGCCUGCCACCCUUUCAGCUCUCUCCUCAAAUUAGACUGGCAUGGCUUUAAGCCAUGAAGGCAGUGGGACCAGUUCCAGCAGACUCACACCACCAUGAUGGCCACUGGUAUAAUUCAAAGAGAAAGAGGAACGGCUCACCUCUAGGUAUAGAAAGGAAAGGAGAUUCAGUCUGUAAAAUGAUCCAAAAGCAGGAAAACAAACAAGCCACAUUGGCUGGCAUCUCUAGGGGGAAAAAAGUUCAUUUGAGGGAUUUGUCAUAAAAGACUCAUCGCAAUAAUCCUAAUUUCAAAAAAGCUCAAAGAACUGAACUAAUGAAGGCAAAGUGCAUCACAGAUGGUCACUCAAGCCUACAAAAGUUGGAGGUGGGACUUUGCUCCAUCUUCCUGAUUGCUGAAGACUAAUAUCCCACCCACCGACUACAAAGUAUUGCCCCUGACAUUAAAUUUAGUGUUGGGAAUUCGGAUAGGGCAAUUUUCUUUAGAGCCACUUCCGUCUCCCAGUCACCAACACUCACCCAGUCUGAAGGCAUCUCUGCCCCCAUUCUCCAGCUAUCAUUAAAAAUGAACAAAAAACAGAAUAAUGCCAGUAAUCAAUCGAUUACUUAUCCAGGAUUUCCCAGGGGCAGCAGAUCCCCAAAGCUACUUCUCCCACUCUGCAGAGGAGAUCACAGAUGAGCACAGGUGCCAGUCUUGACAUCCACCCUGCAAUGUCUGCCCCGAAUCAUAAGAGCCCAUCUGCACAGAGACAGACAGGACUUUCCAGAGAGCUCUUGACUGGCCAGUUGAUCUGGUUCCCAGUUUUGUGAAGGGUGACCGAUGGCAGAUAUAUCCUAGAAUUGCAAAAUGUUUUCUCUAUAACCUUCAUGAGAGAAGUGAGCAAUGAAGUUGGAAAGAAUGAAAAUGAGAGAGAGCCUGGAUGUUAAACACUAGCCUGCAUAUGACUAUAAAAGAAAACAAACAAACCUACUAACAACAAUCAAAAGCAAGAACAAACAAAACCCAGAGAGAUAUCAGAAAUUAGGAAGCAAAGACCUACAACCAUGCAAGGGUACAGUCAUUUGAGAAGUAUUCUACCUUGACUUCAAGAUAUAAUAAAGAUAGAAUUUGCUCUCUUGGAAGCUCUAUGAAAUCAGGAACUGUGACUCAUUUUUUUUUACUUUGAAUCAUCAGUGUCUUGCACAAUGAAGGUACUUAAUGGAAAGGUAGCCUGUUUGGGAUGUAGGGGAUUCAGCUGGAUUUGGAGUCAGAAAGACUUGAGUUCUUGACCUUUGGGAGAAAGUAUAACACAUGGACACUAUAAAUAGAGGAGGAUCUGCCUUCCCUGUGCCUGUGGCUCUAACUCACUGCAAAAUAUUGGCCCCAUUAAUGCCUGAUUUACUUCUCUUACUUAGCAAGACACAAACUCCAUCUUUUGAAGCAAAAUGCAUCUGGGGCGCAGUGGUAUCACACUAUUUCUCCCUUCAGAAAAUAAAAUAAGGCCUCUGGGUUCCAGGAGAUAA